rnacentral:rRNA from 1 species
AUUGAACGCUGGCGGUAUGCUUAACACAUGCAAGUCGAACGAGUGGCGGACGGGUGAGUAAUGCAUAGGGAUCUACCUUUUAGUCUAGGAUAACUACCCGAAAGGGUGGCUAAUACUGGAUUCUAAGAGAUAAGCCUAUGUGGGAUGAGGUAGUUGGUGGGGUAAUGGCUCACCAAGGCGACGAUCUCUAGCUGGUUUGAGAGGAUGAUCAGCCAAAUGGGGACUGAGACACGGCCCAGACUCCUAAGGGAGGCAGCAGUGGGGAAUAUUGGAAAAUGGGGGAAAGGCGGAUCCAGCAAUACCGCGGGUGUGAAGAAGGCCCUAGGGUUGGAAAGCACUUUUGUUAGGGAGAUGUUACCUAAAGAAUAAGCACCGGCUAACUCCGUGCCAGCCGCCGCGGUAAUAC